AUGGAAUUCUGGAGCUUUGUGAGAAGAGCAAUGGAGGUCAGUGACACGCAUAGACGCACUCACUCUCCAUCCCAGGCCCUGCCUGGGACCUGGCAGCAAGAAAGCCUGGGUCCCAGCAAUGGUGAUGGCGGCUCUGUGCCCUUGGACCUCAAGGACGCUGAGCUAAAGAACCUCUCUUCAUUAGGAAGCUGGCCUGACCCAGCUGGUAUUUCUAGGACAGCCUGUGCUGCUGGUGAGCACAUGUCAUUUUUCCACUGCUGUGACAAACGACUUGGGCAAAUCAACUUAAAUGAGGAGAGGUUCCUGUUGGCCCAUGGCUUCAGUCCAUGGACCCCUGGCUCCACUGCUUCAGGGCCUGAGGUGAGACAGAAAGGCAUGUCAGGGGGCGGAGGGAAGAACGAGGUCACACAUGUCAUGGUGGCCAGGAAGCAAAGAGAGAGGGGAAGGGGCAUGGAUUGAAUAUGCCCUCAAGGCCAGCCCCCAGUGACCAACUUCCUCCCGAUAGGUCCCACCUCCGUAUGGCUCCACAGCCUCCCAACAGCCCACUAAGUCACGAAUCCACCAAUGGGGGAACCCGUUGGUGAGGUCAGAGCCUACGUGAUCCAGUCCUCUUCCUGAGACCCCCUCGCCCAACACCACUGCAUGGGAGACCAAGCCUGCAGCAUGUGAGCUUCUGGAGGACACUAAAGACCCAGACUGUACCAUGGAUCAGUCUCUCAAGUCCGCAUGGCCUUGACCUGGCUACUCAGAGUCCACGAGCUUCUGCUAGUUCUAAAAACCCUAACCACCAAGCGCUUUCAGUCCCGAAAUGACCCCCUUCAGUGGCCUGUACAGAAGACAACUGCAGGAGGGCCCUGCCCUCUGGCCUCUCUUUGCCUGGCGUGGGAUGGCUGGGGAAAAACCACCACUCAUCCACACUCCUGAGCCAUUGUGGAGUUCUGAGUGUGUAGAGGGCCCAUCCAGGCACACAGACAGUGUGAGGGACACAGAUUUCGGAAGCUAAAUAAACAAGUGAAAGUUCUCUCAAUCAAAGAGGUAACCACACACAGUGCUAAAGAUGGAACAGCAGGGCUCGGUAGGCAGGUACAAGCUCUGUCCAGCCUCCUCGAGAUUCUGUGAGUCUCAGUUCCCUUGAGUGUAAGAUGGGAAGUCAUACCGGAAGUGUGGAGUGGUGAGGAGGAGAAAUAAUUCCCUUGCAUGGUGAGAGACAUCAAAUAAAUCCUCACAGACAGCCUCGACAGCCACCAGCCCUUCCCUGGCCUUUGGAGGAGACUCUGUGCAGGGCUCCGGGCAUGACACAUGGACUGACCAGGGGACAGAUUGUGGUCCUGGAUGGUGGGCAUCUGGUGUCUUCUCUUCUAGAAUUAUUCUCUUACUGCCAUGCAAACCGACAUGCGGGGUCUUUAGGGGAGACACGAUCUCAGGUCUUUGGCUACAGCAAGUUCCCCUCCACUGCACAACGGUCUAGUCUUUCCACUCAUUUAAACCCCCACCACAAAGGAAGCAGAGUCCCAAGUACCCCGUGACAGUCUUCACAGUAACUGGAGGUCACUGAAUUCAGUGGUGUCUUGAGGACCGCAUGUGGCCAUCUGGAUACACAAAGAGCCACACAGGGCUGGGCUGGUUUGUGUCAGUAUGCAUCGUUGAAAAGUGCUUGAGCCUGUGUUGACCUAAGCAUCCCUGGCGCCUCCUGUUACCCCACUGGCUGUACUCUCUUUUCAGCAUGCUGCAUUACCCGACUCUCCACCUGCACCUGGGCGGGUCACCAGCCUCCUUGUCUCAGCUGUCUAACCUGAGACAAGGAAGGGUAUGCCAGUUAUUACCCUUUGUGUGGAAAACAAAGUUUCUAAAUUUCUUUGCAAGGGCUUUCUCCAUUAAUGUUGGACUAGAUUAUGUAUCUUUCAUACAUUAAAUUUCUUUUAUUGUAAAACCUCUAAUAUAUUAAUAGCACUAAAGAACAAAUGAUAUAUUAAUAAUGGUUCUUACCAGAUGUGGUCGCACACGCCUUUAAUCCUUAGCACUCCAGAAGGCUGAGGCAGAAAGCCUGCAAGUUUAAGCCCCACCUGGGCUACUUAGCAACUUAGCAAGACCCUGUCUCAAAAUAAAACACCAAAAAGGUCUGGGAAGGUGGCUCAUUGUGAAGGGCCUGCGUUCAUUCAUUCUCUAGCUUCACACACACACACACACACACACACACACCACAAAGGAAAGAAAAAAAAUGAAAGAAAGUAAAGAAGGAAAUGUGGACACAGGCCACACUGUGGCUGAGCUUUGGGGACAUUAUAAUAAGCUGAGUGAGCGAGGGCAGGUGGUGUUCAGUAGGGAAUUUCAGUUCUACCAUGAGAAGUUGGGGUGGCUACUGGUGACCGCAUUUAAAAGCCACUGAACCAUAUUGAACACUUGAAAUGGUAACUGUGAGGCUAUGUGGCUCAGCACAUUUUUUCCCUCAUCAAUAGUAUUUAUUAUUUAUGCGAACAGUUUUACAAAAAUGGUAUCCUUCAAUUUGCUCAGCAUAUACUCAUUUACAGCUAAUACUGAAUAGCAUGCUGUUACAUAUUUUAAGUGAUGUGCAUUCCAUGGUCAUCACUUUUUUUCCUAAAGGAGAAGGUACAGGAGUGUCGCCAGCUCGGCUUUCUGCCACGGGACCCCCUCAGACCAGUGGCAAGGCCCCUGGGACACCGGGCCCUCUUCUCCCCAGUGCUGGCAGCUCUGAUGGCCACGGCCAUCUCCCUGAGGCCUUGUGACCGGUCCUUGAACUCGCUGCUGGCUUCGAGGGACUGUGCCGCCCCCAUGGCUGUCAUAAAUAACCGCUCUGGUGACAGUGAGAGGGGGUCAGGAUGCGGCGGGGGCUCUGCAGACAGCUGGGGGCUGGGGACGAAGGAAUGUCCUGUCCUGCGACUGCUUUAUGUGCUUGCCGGUGAUAAAUCCUAAUAAUUAAAUACAGGUCCACAUCAUGUGAAAUGCACUUCUCUCGCUCCAGGCGGGGCUGCAGGAGAUGAAGGGAACGGCCGACCAUGUCCCCACCCUUCACGUCCCGAGCCUGGGCCCUGCCUGCCUCCCACAGCCUGGCUCCCCGGCCAAGCCCAUCUCUCUCCUCCCCACCAGAGGAAGGUGAGCAGCAGGCCCUGGUCCCUCAGCUCGGCCAUCCACCCGACCUCCCUUUCACAGGUAAGGGGGCCUUGGGCCUGAGGCAGAGCCCUGUCCUGCUCCAGCGGUCCCUGUGUGGCCAUCCGACCCAGCCACUGCUCCUGUCCUGGGCACGUGGGAAGCUGUCCUCAUCCUCCCUAUCACCAAUGGGCACCGUGUGACUUCUAGCUCCUCCCCAAGAUCAAAACGACCUGGAAAGGGACAGAUUUUUCUUUUCUUUUCUUUUUUUUUUCCCCCCAUUAAGUUUAUUGGUACAUUUUCGGAAUACAAUACAGUUACAUUCAACAUUGGGAUCUUGUACCUUUACAUGAGUCCCUUGGUUCUUAUUUUUUUUCCCCUUCCCUUGCCUUCCCUUCACCCCCUCCACC
rnacentral:lncRNA from 1 species